rnacentral:pre_miRNA from 1 species
CCAGUCGUAGCCGAUGUUCCACCGCAGGGGGCCCAGGACAGACCCCUGCGGAACACCGCGCUCGACGGG